GGUUUCAAGCAGCUGCCACAGCUGCAAACUUUCCUUUGAAACGGAACCAGGAAAAUGCAAACCCGGCUCCAGGAUCUGGGUUUUUAAGGAAAGCUGCUGACAGUUGCACAGAUAUGGAAGAAAAUGGAGGCAGCAGGUAAUGACAAGGGACGCUGUGACUGAAUGGGAGAGGGGUGCCUCCAAACUAAGUAGGCCACCUAGCAGCAGCACCUCUGCCUGCCCUCACAGCCGCCAUUUUGUUGGGCUUUCAGCCAUAGCCACUGCCCUGCCAUAAAAGAGCGGGAAAAAAGAUGCUGAGCUGUGGCUGCUGGAGGGCUGGGUUGCUGUGGUGGUCCCUCAUCAGUGCUGGCAGCUGUGAGCCUUCGGCAGGGCUUUGACAAGGCUCAGCUGCUGUAGCCUUGCCUCAGCUUUUAUCAUGAGGACCCAUGAGUGUUCUGGAGAAGACUCUUCUGCAAUGCCUGGCCCCGUCCUCAGGAUGAGCUGAUCAGAGGGCAACAGACAUAUUAUUGCGAUAAGGAAACUCUCGUGUCACGACCCACUGGCGUCUGGCUAAUCCGAUGGUAUUCGUCGCCGCAUUGUCCGUGAUCAAUAACUAAUUAUCAAAGUGGCAUUUCUUUUCAAGAGCUCCUUGUUAAAAAAUGGCUUUUGGCUGAGACUAGAGGAAAAAGGUCGCCACUUUGACAUCGUUGCAAGUCUUUCAAAAUCCAGUGGGCCGUCCAAUUGAAUUACUGUCCCAAACUAAUUGAUAUAAAUUUGAACAGAAGAAUGCUUGUUACUACAGAAUGUCAUAAUGAUAUCCUUGGCAAGAGCAUGUCAGUGGGAAAAAAGAGAAAAGACCAGUGCUAGUCACAAAGCAUCUAGACAAGUUGCAGCAGAAGACUGUUAAUAAAACUAACAGGAAAAAAAUUGUACACCAGUUCCUUCUCCUCAGUAAGUUUGGUCAGACAUUCCAGAAGGAAAAGCAUUAACAUUUGGUUUUGAACCGCGUGCAUUUGAAAUCAGACUUCAGAAAACCUGCUGGAAAAAAAAAUAAAAAUUGCAGUAUACCAAGGACUGAAAACCUGAUAUCAGCUGCAGAAGUCUCAUUGACUCUACUGGGAUCACGAACCUGACUACCUUCCUCUCUAUGUCAUACACUCUGUCCCUGAGCUGGGAAUUGCAAAGGAGGAGCACAGGCAAAGGUCACGCCACAAAGGGUUGUACACAUGUGGACUGAUGCCAGUGGAACCAGUGGAAUGUCUCUGCAUACACAUGCACUGUCAGAAACUGGGGCUGACAGAAAUGGCCAUCCUUUCCUUGGAGACUUGAAAAUGUGCAGGCAGAGUCAUCUCAAAGCUCUGCUGAUUCAAUAUUGGCAGUAUUAAUAAUAAUUUAAAAAUGUGACUUUUUUUUUCUAGAUACCACGAUGAUUUGGGUAAGUAAAAAUAUGUGCAUGAAGCUGAUCCACGGGCAAAUAGAAACUCUGUGGCAAAGAGGAAGACAAUGUCCCUUAAAAAUCCCAACAGCAUGUCAGCCCCUACAUGAUUAUUUCUUGAUGGGUUACUCCUGUAUUCCAUAUCAUCAUCAAAAGGUUGAUCCACCAGUAAUAGUUGUAUUUAUUUUUUGUGUUCAGUGUAUGUUUUGUUCUGGGUUGUGCUUCUGCCUCAGAUUCUUAAGAUUUUACAUCAUAACACUUCAUUGUUACUUCAUAGCUUAAUAUCAGACUUCAACUAUUCUAAAAAAAAAAAGUUUUCACUGUACUGAGAGAUUACGUUGAUUUUUCUUGAAAGGUUUAAAUACAAUUGCAUUAAGAGGAUGAGAUUAAGACAAAAGUUUCAUUCUGUUGAUACGUAAAACCUCUGUAAGUCAUUGUAUUACAGAGGACAGAAGUCUAAUGCUGAAAGUACUACAUGACUGAUACUUAAAAACCAGCAUGUGUCCUUCACAGGCACAAGCAAACACCAUCUGAAAAUGACACAGUGCAGAUCCCACUCCGUUAUAUAUUUUUUGUAUAGACAUGCGCGAGCUUAUCCACCCUAUAUAUAAGAAAGAGGGAUAUGUUGGGGUAUUUGCUAGAGAUGCUUGUAAGCAAGGCAUAAAUAUAAGAUGUAACUAAUUAAAGAUUCCCAGAAAAUCCUUGAUUUCAUAACUAUUUAUUCACUUCUGUUGUAUAAGUCAACUCCUGAAGUUCAUUUAUGAAAGGAAAUACCUCAAAUUCUUGCACAAUCUAAACUAAAAUUUCUGCUUAUACUCUGGCUAGAGUAUGUGCUUUGGAAUGGCAGUGGAGGAAGCACUAAUUCUAGAACUGUUCCUCAAAAUUCACUUACCAAAUAGACUGACUGAACGAAGAGGGAACACCAAAACUCGUCCCUGUAGGGUACUGGGACAAAGUUAGUUUUAUAUUGUUAGUGUAACCAUCCUUCUUGGAUUGUUUCUUUUUGAAAACUGUGAUGUUCUUUGAGAAAAUCCUAUUGAUAAUAUGAGUUAAAAAUAAUUGUAGUGAUGGCACUAUAUUGGUAGAUCUGCAUGUUCUUUGUAUUUUGUUUUAAAAUAACACAUUUUUAUUAAUGGUCUUCUAUUACAAGGUGGAACUGGGCAGCAUUUGUUUGGGACAUUAAGGGAAGCCAAUUAUGCUUUAAUGUUUUUAAUGGAGAUUCUUUAGCAUAUUCAUUUUGCCUGAGAUAAGGGCCUAUAAUGGAACGUAAAAAUCUUUGUACUAUAUUUGUAGACAAUUUUUCCUUUGUGUAUUUUUUGUGCUUUUUUUUUUUGUGUGUGUGACUAAAUACCAAGGAACAAAGAACUUGAAAGCUGCUGUUUAGUCCCAUUUAUUUUUCAGCGUUAGGUUAAUUCAUUAAAAACAUAUUCCUGACAUUAUAAGGCCGAACAGUAAAACCCCGGAGAUCAGUUAAAAAAAAAUUCCUCUUGUUAAGCUCCAGAGCACUACUUUUUCAGAAUUAUUCAACCCAUGUCCUAGAUCUUCCUUCUCUGUAAAUGUACUUGCCUUCUCUUUGGGUCCAGCAGUUAACUUCUUCACUGAAUUGACAGAGCCAACUUAAGCUUGCUAGAUUUAUGCAACGCUUUAAGGAAAGACUGUAUUUAGGUCCCUUGAGCUGUAUGUGGUCUGUGGCUACUUUCCUUCUGCUAACCAUUUUGUCUGUUCUUCAGUACUUUACAUUCAACAUUUCAGAUAAUAAACUUCCAGACGUAGAGACCAGAUUUUCAAUGCAUAUAUUCAUAGCAUGGAACGUCAUGGAGUCCUUGUGCUUGAAUGAGUGCUAUGCAUUACCUGUAAUGUAGUAAAAGUAGCAGUAACAGGGGUAUCACAUCCUAGUUAAUCCUGAUAUUCUUUGCAUAGAUAAAAAUAAAUCUAUAACCUGCUCCUUUCCCACUCACUAACUCUUGUAGCAAGAAGAUGUGGUCCCAAAAAGUGUGCCUGCAUUUGCUGCUGUGGAAACAUGGCGUGGCUUCCCUUACUUUGCAAUGUAGAGAGCUUUUGGCUGCACAUGAAGACAGAAGUUUUGGCUUCUCUGAACUUAAGAAUAUUAAGGUCCUGCAAGUAGAACAUGCCAAAGACUUCCUCACUGCUGAAAUCCAUUGCCUGAAGAUAGGAAUUGCUCAGCAGAAAACUCUGGACGCAGUAUAAGACCAGUUUCCCAGGCUCUGGAGAUGUUUCAUGUAUUUUUGAUGUGAAACUACAAGCUAGAGUUCUUAGAUAUUAAAAUUAUUUGAAUCUCUACAACUCAGGGCUGUUUCAGGAAAUACAAACAGCUCCAUCUUGAAGUAGCAUUGGAGAGUGGAAGGAGAGAAGCACUUUCCAAGGUGAAAUUCCUAAAUAUCAUUUUUUCCAAGUUGGCAUUUGGUGAUCACAUGCUUCUACUUGCUAAAAUAGCUAACCAUCAGAACAUAGUUAUUGUCUUGAAAGAGAAAAUGGCUGCUACACCACUGGCUUCUGAUAAGAAGAUGACUACCGAAUAUGUGCUGUCUAAUUAUGGGUGACAGUUAUAAAACUUUGACUGUGUAUACAUGGACUAGUACAGUUUUGAGGAACAGGUGAUUUUUCAGUUUUGUUUCUAUUUUCAUUAAUUUCUACUUAUAUUAUCUGAGAAAAAUCUUUCAUUCUACAAAUAUGUCUAUAUUUAGACAUUAUGUGUGAAGUGUUUUCAUCUACCAUCUUGAUAAGGAAUGCAGUGAAUCUCUGUAAAAGGGAGUAAUGAAGAACAUGUUUUUUUUUUUUCCUUGGAAAGACAUAUUAAGAGUUGUAAGCUUUACUACAUAAACUUAAUCUCAUGGACACUUUGUGAAUAAUUCUCCAUGGACUGGUUCCUUCUGGAUUCUUGCUUUUAUUUCCAGUAGUCAACGUAUUAAUAGGGUUAAAGGUGCUGGCAUGGUGAAUUUAUGGUUGACAUCUCACAGUCCGUUAAAGCAAGAUCACUAAUGGGUGACCUUGAGGCUCGACCAUUCCAGACUCUGGAAGAUCAAGUCUCAGACCCCUCCUGCAAGUGCUCUGACCUCUCCAUUCUUCCCCUUUAUGGCCUAACCUUUAACUCACUGAUCUUUGACCAAAUUAUUAAGCAAACACCUGCUUAGGUCUCUGACCAAGGACUGUAGACCAGAAGAGCUACCAUAAUUUCAUGUGAAUUAGCUUUAAUAAUAGCAAUACCAGCCUAAGGAGAAAAUCAGAGGGUAGGUUUACAGUAAAUAAUCAUGCUGCUGAAGAGCACACACAGAACGGGCCCUUCAACAGCUCUUACCUACAGUAAAUCAAUGCUAAUCUAUUUGACUGUGAUAAUAAAGGCUCGUCAGCAGAUAUAGUUUCUUUAUAUGACUUGACUAGGACAAUGACUAGGUAAAAUUUAUUUCCUAUUACUAAAGCAAGACAAAGAUUAAAAUUAAUCCUUUGAUACCAGGGAUUUCCCGUUGGUAAUAAUGCACAUACUGCAUUAGUGUUCAACACAGUUGCUAAGAGUAACUGUAAUAGAAAUAAAGGCUGCAAAAAUCUCUGAUGAUUUCAGUCAUUAAGCCUGUGUAAUUUUAUCUGAAUUGCACAUGGAAGAAGUGGUUUGAUUUCCCCCAGAUUUCAUGGAUUGCUUGGUCUUUUUUCAGCCCAUGCUGUGUGAUUUUAUAAAUCUGCUUCAUCUGCUACUCAAACCUGAGUUGCUCUAGCAUAUGUGUUCUUCCUAAGUAAACUGACUGUGAUUUUUUUAGUCUUUAAUCACAAGAAACAGUAGAAUCUGAGUUGUUAUACAAUAAUAUCAGACCCAUAACAGACCAGUAUAGUUUACUAAGUAGAUAUUUUUCAUUUAUUCGAACAAAGUUAUGAACACAUGCUUUCUCAUAAUUGAUUUUAUAUGAUAGCUAUCAAUGCGUACAUGCAGUAACUUCAUGUAUACAUCCAUGGAGGCAGUCUACACCAGCAAGAGAGGCAUUUGCAAAUGUAAGUGUUAUGGUGCUAUGCAAAACCCAUAUUUUAAAUCUAGUCUUUAAAAAGAAUUAUGAAGAUAGUUUAUUGUUAUAAGGAAGAUCUUUAAACAUCUGUGCUGCUAAUAGGAGGGGGCAAUUAGAUGAAUUGGAUGAGGUUUGGCUAUAAUAUUAAGAACAACUCAAGUGACACUGCUUGAAGUUCGUGUAUGCCACGUGAUAAAAAAAAUCGAAAUACGUACAGCUCCAAAUACAUGAAUCAAUUAUGUGUUACCAACUUUAAAAGCCAGUGUUAGUACCAAUCUAAAGUUUACUGGAGUUUAUCUUUCUUUGUACUGACUUCUGCAGAGUUGUAUCAGGUCUGUAUUUCCCCAUGUAUGUAAAAUGACUACAGAAAAAUUCCACUCUGUUAAUUUUGAAUAUGCACUUGCACGGUUUUUACAAUAUGAAGAUGGAAUGAAAAUAUCGCUGAUCUAAAUAACAUUUUCAAAAUUAAAUGGUAACUGUAUUUAUUUUCUGUUCACUCGAAUGGCUCUUUCAACAUUGCUCUGUGCUCUUUUGAUCUCUUUUCCAGGAUAUUGGCUGGCCUUCCUGAAGAUAUAGUUAUAUUUUCAUUAGUAGAAUAAAGUCUGGCUAGCAAUGUUGUGAAUGAAAUUAAAGGCAACUUAAUAUAAACUGUGUUCCCAUCUGAUGGCUGUAAAACAGCAUUAAAUGUUUAUUUGAUCAAUACAUGCUGUUUCCUAUGUACAAUAUUGUUCAGAUGGGAUGUCCAAGUUUAAACUGAUUUACAUAGAUUAUUAUUUUCCGUUCCCUGACUAGAUUAGUUGUAAGCUUAGACCUGGUUCAGUUGGCUAGAUAAUGUCAUGGACUAUGUGUAUUUAUAUACUUCAAAACAUAUGUGCUUUGCCUUGUGUGUAGGUAUUUGCACUCAAAAAAACCUACCAAAUCUUUACAGAAGGUCUAGAAAAAUGUUAGUCAGAUAACUGGGAGGCUAUUGCAUGAAAUCUGCACUGCCUGGUACACUGCAUCCUUAAGCAAAACUGGGCGCUUCUUUUCUGAGUUAAGAGAUGGAAUGACAUAGUGAGGUAUUCGUUUGAGAAAGGAGGUAAGUUAAAAGAUAAUCAAUAACAAUAAAAGUUACAAAGCAAAGACUGUAAACAGUAAAUGGAUUUUAAAAUGAUGUCUAUUUGAAUGCUCUCGCUUUACACAGCCAUUAAUUAGUGAAACACAAGACCAGAUGAUCACAACACAACAGAGAUGUUCAGUUAAAUGCAUUGCCUACCUCUUUUCCUAUCUGUCAGUGUAGAAGGUCAAAUUUUGCCCAGAUUUACACAAAUGCAUCAUCACUGAACUCAUUUGCUGCCCUGAGUCAUACCAGGCAAUUCCACAGAUAAUGAAUUUUUCUGUUUCCUGAAAAAAUACAGAUAGCCAAGACCUUGAUUGAAAGCCCAUUAGAAUCAGUGAGAGUCUUACCUUUGACUACAGUAAGCUUUUAAUCAAAUCUUACAUAGUUGUGAAAUAUCCAUAAGG